rnacentral:sRNA from 1 species
GAAACCCUUUAAUACAGUUACUCAUGUGGUAACCCCAACCAUAAAAUUAUAUCGUUGCUCCUUCAGAACUAAAACUUUGCCAGCGAUAUGAAUCAUAAUGCAAAUAUCUGUGUUUCCCAAUACUCUUAAGUGACCCCCCCCAAAGGAAUCUCAACCCACAGGUUGAGAACUGCUGUCCUAGAAGAUACUGCUGGUGGGUGGUGCUGGUGGCCAUAUCCCAUCCCCCAGCCAGACAACCAAACCCCUCUAGAUGGAGCCAGCUGUCUUUUUAGCCAGUGCAGAAUCGCCCCAUGUGCGCAUGACUAUAGGCCUUACUUCCCAUAGACAAACCCACAGUUGGGCUGGAUUCAUUUCCUUCAGGGCCCCAAGGGAGGAACAACUGAGAACACAGCUGCCCCGUGGGAGGGGCCUGAGCCAGUGUCAAGGACAGUUCACAGGCAAUGGGAAUCAGUUCAUCAGUGAGGAGGUAAGAGCCCUUGUAAUCUAUACACUUCCCCCAAACACCCUCUCUGAGUCCUGUUGCACUGGGGAUAAGUCUUCGACAUGAGCUAUCGGGGUUGGAACACCAACUCCACUGUUGUAUGAGCUCUGCUUAACAUCUAAGGUGUCCUGGGCCUCAGUUGCUUCACCUGCAACAAAGACAGUGAGGCUACUGUUACAGAAAUGGAUACAGACAGCAUCUACCUAUCCAGAACCCCUCAAGUGCGGCAGGCUGGCAUCUCUGAAUGCUACCACUGGCAUAUGGGCUUGGUUCAACUGACCGGUAGAAUGGGCCCUAUCUGGAGCAUCCGACUCCACCUGGGGUGGCCUGUCACUUGGGCAGUGACUCUGGCUAUCACAGGGACCAAAUGACCUGAGUCCCGGGAUAUACUGUAUUCCUCGGGCUUCUUGGUCCAUUCAGCUCACCUUGGAAAGCUAUCUAAUACCUCUUGCCAAAUGAAAAACAACCCCAGAGACUUUGGAGGUAACCAUGGCAACUGUCUUCUAAACUGGAUUAUUGUUACUUUAUCAGAAAGUUCUCUUCCUCCAGUAUCCCAAUGCCCUGAAGUUGGAUGAAUUUUUAAAUGUGCUUUUAUUGUAUCUCGGAGCUAAAUCUUUUCUGUGUGCAGCAGAGAUCUGUCCUCAAAUCACGAUGAAAGCUGACAGGAGACUAAGAUUUUUUUCUUCAAAGCUCAGCUUUCUUCUCCACUGCAACUCACAACUGCCAUCUACCAGAGCACCAUACCUUCUGUGUCAAAGGGUAAUGUUACACUUUCCAUUGCUUUCUCAUUGGCUGAGAACAGAUGUUGAUCACUCACGUUUAUGGAGCGAAUCUGAGUGAGGGUUGUAACGACCACAGCGAGUAUAAGCAGAGCCAUCCCUACCCUCUUCCUGUGGCUGACCACCUCCAUCUCCCAGAUUCCUUUAGGCUUCUGCGUCUGCUGGCCCAGGAGUGGAGAUUGUGGGGUCCCGACACAGAGACCUGACCUACUGGCUCUGCAGCUGAUGGCUCAGGACGCCGAGCAGAGUUUUAGAUGACAGAAUGAUUAUUGGAGUUCAUUAUGAGCUACAAAGUGCUCCUAAGUGCAUGGGAGUGUUGUGUUGGAUGGCAGUAAGAAGUUCACCAGCAGCUCGCCGGGCCUGUCAGCUAAAUGGCCUACAAACUCAGCCUGGCUCAGGACUGCCAUACUUGCACAAGGAGCCGAAGUCAGAAGUUGGCCUUGUUGAUCGACAUAUUUUCCAUACACACCUGUCAGUCAUUUACAAAGACUUGAACCCAAGGCCCUGUCUACUUGAAGUCUUGAAGAGGACCUGGCUCUCUAAUCCUGGGAAGGACUGGAAUUAAAUGUGUGUACAACCAUGCCUGGCUACAGCAGCGUAAUUUCAAGAGUUCCAAAUUGGAUGCAGCCCAAGCAUCCUCCUCAGACAGAACAAGUAGAGAUAAAUUCAAAUGAUAGAACGUUGCAGACAACGACAAGAAAGAAGCUAGUUAUACCAACAGCGUGGAUGAAAUUUGCAAACAAAGCCAAGUAAAGAAGACCGUGGAGUGUUUGUGUUCUCUGAGUUUGUCCAUAGAUCGAAAUAGAGAUGGAGACAGGAACUCUGAAAUCAGGCAGCUGAUGCACGACGCUAUGCAUUUGUCACAACCCAUGGAAAUUUAUGUCACGAACACUGAACUUUAAUAUAUACAAGGCUUUUUUCUUUCUCCCUUUUUAAAAAAAUAAAUUAGGAUGGCAAAACACAAUGUUAUCUGUAACAAAUAAAUAUGUUAGAAAUACAUUGCGUGACAAAACUGAAGCAUUGCGGGAUGGUGAGAGCUGACCUGAGAAAGGCUGGAAAACGAUGCAGCACUAACGACAAAAUGACCCGUCCUCAAGGAUCCUAUAACUGAGAACUGAACCUAGGAUGGACUGUACCAGAGGAUUAGCCAGUACCUGAAGACUGGCCAUACCCGAGGACAGAACUUUAGCUGACCAUUUUGCUUCUCAUUGGGACAUAGGCUGGCUAUUCUAAAGUUACAUUAUAAGCAAUCUAGAAUUGAACAUAUACGUUAGUAAGUGGUAAGAUUUCGGAAGCCAGAUUUCUCCCCAUAACAGAGACAUGCACAUACAGGGCGGUAAGGCUAGGAUGUAUGCACUGACAUUGGAUUCAGGCCAGGGUAUAAUAGGGAUACAGAAGGAGGCAAAAAUAAUUACAACUCUGGAUGCACAGAGGGGUUACGUACAGUCGUACCUUUCUUAGUUGUGUCCAUCGACAGUUGCAUGAUUUGGCCAAGCUGUGGGCUUAAACAAGUGCUCUGAGUACAUUCGGGGCAGGCUGGGCAUCUUUUAUUUUCUUUUAUUUUUCUUGGAUAUUUUAUGUAUUCACAUUUCAAAUGUUAUCCCCUUUCU